UACGUAGGGUGCGAGCGUUGUCCGGAAUUAUUGGGCGUAAAGGGCUCGUAGGCGGUUUGUCGCGUCGGGAGUGAAAAUCCAGGGCUUAACUCUGGACUGGCUUCCGAUACGGGCAGACUAGAGGUAUGCAGGGGAGAACGGAAUUCCUGGUGUAGCGGUGAAAUGCGCAGAUAUCAGGAGGAACACCGGUGGCGAAGGCGGUUCUCUGGGCCGAACCUGACGCUGAGGUGCGAAAGCGUGGGGAGCAAACAGG
rnacentral:rRNA from 1 species